GCAAACUUGGUCAUUUAGAGGAAGUAAAAGUCGUAACAAGGUUUCCGUAGGUGAACCUGCGGAAGGAUCAUUACCGAGUGCGGGUCCUUUGGGCCCAACCUCCCAUCCGUGUCUAUUGUACCCUGUUGCUUCGGCGGGCCCGCCGCUUGUCGGCCGCCGGGGGGGCGCCUCUGCCCCCCGGGCCCGUGCCCGCCGGAGACCCCAACACGAACACUGUCUGAAAGCGUGCAGUCUGAGUUGAUUGAAUGCAAUCAGUUAAAACUUUCAACAAUGGAUCUCUUGGUUCCGGCAUCGAUGAAGAACGCAGC
rnacentral:misc_RNA from 1 species